rnacentral:pre_miRNA from 12 species
AGGCUCCUUCAUGUCUCCCAGCCCAAGGUGCAGUGCUGCAUCUCUGGUCAAUUGGGAGUCUGAGAUGAAGCACUGUAGCUCGGGAAGGGAGGAACUGUGCGCCCUG